GCGAAGACUGCCACCAUGUCUUGCCCACUGUCUGCUGCACUUGGUGGGGUGUUGCUCCGGGACCUUGCUUCAGACGUGACUGUGAAGGCUAUGAUUUCACACCAGCGUGAAGGGCAGCUGCCCCCAACACCCUGCCCAGGAGUUCCUGCUCCAGGACUCGGCAUCUGCAGCAGCGGGCAGGGAAAUUAAUGCAUCAUGAUGUUGAAACCCACAUUCCAAAGGCUGAACUAAAAUCGACUUCCUAAAGAGAAACACAAGUGAAGAUGGACUGGAGGAGGACAGCAGUGGAGGUAGGAGUCGGACAUGAGAACACAAGAGGCUUUCCUGAGAAGAGGCUGCUGGACCAGGGUCCUGGCUUAAGCUGGAAGGCAAGCUUUGACAGUAAGAAAAGGGAAGGACAAAGUGAACCAGACACUUCACUGAGUUGGCUGAUGAGUGACAACCGAAUAUCAGGUCUCACUUUCUAAAAUUGAAAUGCAAUUGACAUAAAACAUUGUGUAAGUUUAAGGUGUACAAUGUGUUGAUUUGAUACAUUUAUAUUGCAAUACAAUUGCCAUUGUAGCAUUAGCUGACUGUUUGUCACGUCACAUAAGUACCAUUUUUCAAAGUGAUGGGAACAAUUAAA